CGACUUCAACUGCAGGCAGACUUCAUCCGGACUCCUACGGGAGUCGGACUUCAUCCCCGACUUCAACUGCAGGCAGACUUCAUCCCCGACUUCAACUGCAGGCAGACUUCAUCCGGGCUCCUACAGGAGCCGGACAUCAUCCCCGACUUCAACUGCAGGCAAACUUCAUCUGGACUCCUACGGGAGUCAGACUUCGUCCCCGACUUCAACUGCAGGCAGACUUCAUCCGGACUCCUACGGGAGUCGGACUUCAUCCCCGACUUCAACUGCAGGUAGACUUCAU
rnacentral:lncRNA from 1 species